rnacentral:rRNA from 1 species
GACGUAGGGCGCGAGCGUUGUCCGGAUUUAUUGGGCGUAAAGAGCGUGUAGGCGGCCAGACAAGUCUGCUGUGAAAACUCGAGGCUCAACCUCGAGCUGUCGGUGGAAACUGUCUGGCUAGAGUCCGGAAGAGGAGAGUGGAAUUCCCGGUGUAGCGGUGAAAUGCGCAGAUAUCGGGAAGAACACCCGUGGCGAAGGCGGCUCUCUGGGACGGUACUGACGCUGAGACGCGAAAGCGUGGGGAGCGAACAGG